rnacentral:rRNA from 2 species
CUGGUGUCAGCCGCCGCGGUAAUACCAGCACCCCGAGUGGUCGGGACGUUUAUUGGGCCUAAAGCAUCCGUAGCCGGUUCUACAAGUCUUCCGUUAAAUCCACCUGCUUAACAGAUGGGCUGCGGAAGAUACUAUAGAGCUAGGAGGCGGGAGAGGCAAGCGGUACUCGAUGGGUAGGGGUAAAAUCCGUUGAUCCAUUGAAGACCACCAGUGGCGAAGGCGGCUUGCCAGAACGCGCUCGACGGUGAGGGAUGAAAGCUGGGGGAGCAAACCGGAUUAGAUACCCGGGUAGUCCCAGCUGUAAACGAUGCAGACUCGGUGAUGAGUUGGCUUAUUGCUAACUCAGUGCCGCAGGGAAGCCGUUAAGUUUGCCGCCUGGGGAGUUCGAAAAGGAAGACUGAAACUUAAAG